GCUUUUUUUCUUUCUUUUCUUUUUCUUUUUUCCUUCAAUCUUCAUCCUUUGAUGAUGAAAUCAAUCCAUUCCAAAGCCUAAAGUGUCUCAAAUUUCAUCCUCUACAAAACCCAUAGCAUAGUUUUAGUUGAGAGUCAUUAUAUUGAGAGAUUUCUACAUCUCUAGGUCGCGGGUACUGUUCACAAGAGGAGAAAAAUGAUGUUUUUCUUGGCUUGAAGGCUUGGAUUGUCUUCCUCUUAGUGAUUUAAAGCUUCCAAGGUUGUGGCUUUGUGAGAGAUCGUGACUCUGUGGACACGAGAAUUAGUGAAGGACACAGCUUGCCAGGUACAGGAGUUGAUGGUGCUGAGGCAUCACGUGGCAAGAGGCCAGAUGAGAGAUACUACUUGACAUGAUUGUCAGGGCCUUACAGAUAUUUAGAUUUGUACCUGACAUACUUUAUUUUGGGUUGUAUGUGCCAUGUAUUUUUUUGAGAGCAUAGGAGAUGUCUAUGCCAAGCUGAUAGUCUGUAUAUGUUGUUAGUGAUGCAUG